AAAUCAGGGGUAACUAGGAUCAAGUGUGGUAUCUGUUCUUAUCAGUUAAAUAUCUGAUAUGUCCUUUAUUUGAAGACUGUAUAUUACAUUGAUUUUUGAAACAGAGUGACGGAAUAGGAGCUUUCUCUGUCCACCCCAUACAUCGACCUGGUAUUGCAGUGCCCUCAGGAACGGGGAAAACCUC
rnacentral:snRNA from 1 species